GAUGAACGCUGGCGGCGUGCCUAAUACAUGCAAGUCGAGCGAACAGACGAGGAGCUUGCUCCUCUGACGUUAGCGGCGGACGGGUGAGUAACACGUGGAUAACCUACCUAUAAGACUGGGAUAACUUCGGGAAACCGGAGCUAAUACCGGAUAAUAUAUUGAACCGCAUGGUUCAAUAGUUAAAGACGGUUUUGCUGUCACUUAUAGAUGGAUCCGCGCCGCAUUAGCUAGUUGGUAAGGUAACGGCUUACCAAGGCGACGAUGCGUAGCCGACCUGAAAGGGUGAUCGGCCACACUGGAACUGAGACACGGUCCAGACUCCUACGGGAGGCAGCAGUAGGGACUCUUCCGCAAUGGGCGAAAGCCUGACGGAGCAACGCCGCGUGAGUGAUGAAGGUCUUCGGAUCGUAAAACUCUGUUAUUAGGGAAGAACAAAUGUGUAAGUAACUAUGCACGUCUUGACGGUACCUAAUCAGAAAGCCACGGCUAACUACGUG
rnacentral:rRNA from 1 species